rnacentral:rRNA from 1 species
AUUGAACGCUAGCGGCAGGCUUUACACAUGCAAGUCGAACGAGUGGCGGACGGGUGAGUAAUAUCUGGGAACGUGCCCAGUAGAGGGGGAUAACUACUGGAAAGAGUGGCUAAUACCGCAUACUAUCGGAGCGGCCGAGAUGGGAUUAGCUAGUAGGUGGGGUAAAGGCUAACCAAGGCAACGAUCCGUAGCUGGUUUGAGAGGACGACCAGCAACACUGGGACUGAGACACGGCCCAGACUCCUACGGGAGGCAGCAGUGGGGAAUAGUGGACAAUGGGGGAAACCCUGAUCCAGCCAUCCCGCGUGUAUGAGAAGGCCUUCGGAUUGUAAAGUACUUUUAGUAGAGAAGCGGUAUCUGCAGAAUAAGCACCGGCUAACUACGUGCCAGCAGCCGCGGUAAUUC